UACGGGGGGGGGUAAGCGUUGUUCGGAAUUACUGGGCGUAAAGAGCUCGUAGGUGGUUUGUCGCGUUGUUCGUGAAAACUCACAGCUUAACUGUGGGCGUGCGGGCGAUACGGGCAGACUGGAGUACUGCAGGGGAGACUGGAAUUCCUGGUGUAGCGGUGAAAUGCGCAGAUAUCAGGAGGAACACCGGUGGCGAAGGCGGGUCUCUGGGCCGUAACUGACGCUGAGGAGCGAAAGCAUGGGGAGCGAACAGG
rnacentral:rRNA from 1 species